rnacentral:rRNA from 1 species
CUUUGCCUGCUAUCUCUUACCCAUGUCUUUUAAGUACCUUACGUUUCCUCGGCGGGUCCGCCCGCCGAUUGGACAAUUUAAACCAUUUGCAGUUGCAAUCAGCGUCUGAAAAAACUUAAUAGUUACAACUUUCAACAACGGAUCUCUUGGUUCUGGCAUCGAUGAAGAACGCAGCGAAAUGCGAUAAGUAGUGUGAAUUGCAGAAUUCAGUGAAUCAUCGAAUCUUUGAACGCACAUUGCGCCCCUUGGUAUUCCAUGGGGCAUGCCUGUUCGAGCGUCAUUUGUACCUUCAAGCUCUGCUUGGUGUUGGGUGUUUGUCUCGCCUCUGCGUGUAGACUCGCCUCAAAACAAUUGGCAGCCGGCGUAUUGAUUUCGGAGCGCAGUACAUCUCGCGCUUUGCACUCAUAACGACGACGUCCAAAAGUACAUUUUUACACUCUUGACCUCGGAUCAGGUAGGGAUACCCGCUGAACUUAAGCAUAUCUAUAAACAGGAGGAAGACUUUGCUGCUAUCUCUUACCCAUGUCUUUUAAGUACCUUACGUUUCCUCGGCG